UGCACGCUCCUUAGAUCCACCUCUGGAGGAGCCCGGCUCCUCGGCAGCUUCCUGCUGUACAGUUGGAGGUGCUUGAGUCAUUGGCGUGCCAGAGCAGUCCACCUGUCCCCCAGACCCCCCGUGGUACCGGCUACCCCGUCACCUGAUGGGGGCGGGGGCCUCCCGGUACCGCCAGUCUGGGGGACGGACAAC